CAGUAGCCGCGGGAAUACGUAGGGUGCGAGCGUUAAUCGGAAUUACUGGGCGUAAAGCGUGCGCAGGCGGCUUUGCAAGACAGAUGUGAAAUCCCCGGGCUCAACCUGGGAACUGCAUUUGUGACUGCAAGGCUAGAGUGCGGCAGAGGGAGAUGGAAUUCCGCGUGUAGCAGUGAAAUGCGUAGAUAUGCGGAGGAACACCGAUGGCGAAGGCAAUCUCCUGGGCCUGCACUGACGCUCAUGCACGAAAGCGUGGGGAGCAAACAGGAUUAGAGACCCCUGUAGUCCCUGUCUCUUAUAU
rnacentral:rRNA from 1 species